GGGCGCUUAGCUCAGCUGGGAGAGCAUCUGCCUUACCAGCAGAGGGUCAUAGGUUCGAGCCCUAUAGGUCCCA
rnacentral:tRNA from 1 species